rnacentral:lncRNA from 1 species
UGGGUAGUGGUCCUUUGGACAUGCUUUGUUCAAGUCGGUAAAAUUCAUACAUCCUUCAUUUUCCAUUAGUCUUCUUUACAAGUACCACAUUGGCAAGCCAUGUAGGAUACUGGACCUCAUUUAUUAACUCUGAACUUAAUAGCUUGUUAACCUCCUCCUUAAUCACCUACUGUCUCUACGGGACAAACUUUCUUUUCUUUUAUUGUACAGGUUUCA